rnacentral:rRNA from 1 species
UGGGGAAUAUUGGACAAUGGGCGAAAGCCUGAUCCAGCCAUGCCGCGUGUGUGAAGAAGGUCUUCGGAUUGUAAAGCACUUUAAGUUGGGAGGAAGGGCAGUAAGCGAAUACCUUGCUGUUUUGACGUUACCGACAGAAUAAGCACCGGCUAACUCUGUGCCAGCAGCCGCGGUAAUACAGAGGGUACAAGCGUUAAUCGGAAUUACUGGGCGUAAAGCGCGCGUAGGUGGUUCGUUAAGUUGAAUGUGAAAGCCCCGGGCUCAACCUGGGAACUGCAUCCAAAACUGGCGGGCUAGAGUAGGGCAGAGGGUGGUGGAAUUUCCUGUGUAGCGGUGAAAUGCGUAGAUAUAGGAAGGAACACCAGUGGCGAAGGCGACCACCUGGGCUCAUACUGACACUGAGGUGCGAAAGCGUGGGGAGCAAACAGG